rnacentral:rRNA from 1 species
GACGAACGCUGGCGGCGUGCUUAACACAUGCAAGUCGAACGAUGAACCGGAGCUUGCUCCGGGGAUUAGUGGCGAACGGUGAGUAACACGUGGGCAACCUGCCCCAGACACCGGGAUAACCUUCCGAAAGGAUGGCUAAUACCGGAUACGACCACUUCGGGCAUCCGACGGUGGUGGAAAGGAUUCUGGUCUGGGAUGGGCCCGCGGCCUAUCAGCUUGUUGGUGGGGUAAUGGCCUACCAAGGCGACGACGGGUAGCCGGCCUGAGAGGCGACCGGCCACACUGGGACUGAGACACGGCCCAGACUCCUACGGGAGGCAGCAGUGGGAAUAUUGCGCAAUGGGCGAAAGCCUGACGCAGCGACGCCGCGUGAGGGACGAAGGUCUUCGGAUUGUAAACCUCUUUCAGCAGGACGAAGCGAAAGUGACUGUACCUGCAGAAGAAGCACCGGCUAACUACGUGCCAGCAGCCGCGGUAA